CUUAUAAUAGCUUUAUUUAAAUCAAAUUUCCAUUUUUUUCUGUUAAAAUUGUCUGUAAACAACAUGUUAGUUAACAGUUUGCCAUGGGAAUGAGACGUGAGCAGUUGUAUUUCCUGUCUUAAGGUUGUUCAUAAUAUUGGCUAGCCGGCUAGCUUUCUGCGCAUCACAGCAGCACCUGAUCAGUGGAAACAGUGUGUGAUGUCUCAUCUGAUUGGUUACAGGAAUACCAGAAUCCACCUCAGGCCAGAACCACACCAGCACAACAAGCAAGAAAUUGGUAAGUCAUGCACAUGACUAUACCCCAUUCCCAUAUAGGCUCAAAUUAGGGUCCUACUGAGUUUGAGCUUGUAAAGUGAUGUUCACAGGUAAUUCUGAAGUUGGUAAUUGUAAAUCAACCUUUUGUAAACCUGUAAAAUAAAUUUGCAUUAGAAACAAUUGUGCUUGUGGCAAGGAUAUAUAUGUUUGUGUUAAAAAAUGGUGUGAUUAAAAUCUGAAAAAAUGA